UACGGAGGGCGCAAGCGUUGUCCGGAAUUAUUGGGCGUAAAGAGCUCGUAGGCGGCUUGUCGCGUCGAUUGUGAAAGCCCGGGGCUUAACUCCGGGUCUGCAGUCGAUACGGGCAGGCUAGAGUGUGGUAGGGGAGAUCGGAAUUCCUGGUGUAGCGGUGAAAUGCGCAGAUAUCAGGAGGAACACCGGUGGCGAAGGCGGAUCUCUGGGCCAUUACUGACGCUGAGGAGCGAAAGCGUGGGGAGCGAACAGG
rnacentral:rRNA from 1 species